AGACCACCAGAGGGAGCAGCUGUGCCCGGCACUUCUGAUAGAAGCACGUACCUCUUCUGUCUGGAAAACACCAUUGUCCCUCAGCAACAGGGGAGCCCUUCGAGCCCAGCCCUAUGCCCCUACCCAUCACCAACCCCCAAAGUGAGCCAUGGAGUGUAACUGCAGCAGGGCCUGCGUUCAGAUCACAUCACCGCGGGACCCAGGGCAUCAUAUGUUUGGCAGGGCACAUAGAACCCCACAGAAAAAGACAUCUGCCGAAGUUGUGCUCAGAAAGAAAGAAAGAAACAAAAAGAUUGUGCUUGCAAAGAAAUGAUGCUCCAUGAAGGUGAGUCACCCGUUGCCACAAGAAGGAGGAGAAUUAGUAGCCCCAAGAAAUACUGAUGAGAUGAACUACCACUCUUUUUUUGCAAGUGGAAUAAGGACAUGUCCAGGAAAAAAUAAACCGAAGAAAGGUUAGCAAUAAUAGACUCUUACUUAAAUAACUACUGAAAGAUAUCCUUCAGGAAGAAGGAAAUUGAAAUUGGAGAGAAAGGAUGAAUAGGAGGCAAGGAACAGUGAACAAAAAAUUGAUAAACAUGGGAAAAUCUAAAUAAGCAUUAAGUACAUAAAACAACAAUGAUGUUGAAUCAUAUGGAAUCAUAUGGAAUAUAUGAUGUUGAAUCAUAUAGAAACAGGCUGGCACAAACAACGCUACAGCUCAAAGGCAUGUACAGCAGCAGAAGACUAUUAAUAUUUAAAUAAUCUAAGGCUCUUGUAUUGUUUGGGAGGAGGGUAGGGCAAUUGCCUGUGUUUGGACCUUGUUAAGUCAAGUAUGAAUGUUUAAACAUUUAAGAUAUGAACUCCUAGUUUCUGGCGGUGGCAGGCUUGGUUAUUUGAUUCAGCUUUUCUAUUGAAGUAAUGAAGUAUCCUGAAUAAAAAUGUUCAGAACCACUUUGAAAGCACUCAAGAGGAGUUCCCUGGUGGCUCAGCAGGUUAAGGAUCUGAGGAUGUCACUGCUGCCGGAGGCUAUAGCUCCAAUUCGACCCCUAGCCUGGGAACCUCCAUAUGCCGAGGGAAGCGGCCCUAGAAAAGGCAAAAAGAAAAAAAAAUUAUUGGAAUAUAGUUGACUUAUAAAGUUGUAUUAAUUUCAGGUGUAUAGCAAAGUGAAUCAGUUAUACAUAUACAUAUCCCCAUUCCUUUUCAGAUUCUUUCCCCAUAUAGGUUAUUACACAGUAUUGAGUAAAUUUCCCUGGGUUAUAGGUCAGUCCUUGUUACCCUUCUAUUUUAUAUAUAGUGGUGUGUGUGUAUCAAUCCUAACUCCCUAAUUUAUCCCCCUUCACGUUUUCCCUUUGGCAAACAUAAGUUUUGUUUUGAAAUCUUUGAGUCUGUUUCUGUUUUGUAAGUUCUAUUGGGUCACUUCUACUAGAAUCCACAUAUUAGUGAUCUCAUAUGUACGGAGCAGGCAAAUCCAUAGAGACAGAAAUUAGAUUAGCGGUUGCUGAGGGUUGGAGGAAGGGAGAAGGAAUAACAGAUGCAGGGUUUCCUUUGAGGGUGAUGAAAAUAUGCUGGAAUUAGAUAAUAGUGAGUGUGACACCAUCCUGUAAAUAUACUAAAACCCACCACAGUUUAAAAUUUAUACUUUAAAAGGGUAGAUUCUAUAAUAUGUGAAUUGUACCUCAAUUUUAAAAUGUAGAUUAUAAUAACAGACUCUCGAAGAGUUGUUGUGAAGGUUCAAAGAGAUAAUGCAUGUAUAGUCUUUAGCACAAUUCCUGGCACCAUCAUAAGUGUUCAACGAAUUAAAGGUGCAAUUCUU
rnacentral:lncRNA from 1 species